CCUUAACCUUUAAAUAGGUCCAUUAGCUUUUUGCUGAAAGGAACUUCUUAAAGGNACUAUUGAUUAAAAAUCAAUUGAAGUUUGAGGCAAUAACANGUCUGUGAUGCCNUUAGACGUUCUNGGCNCACGCGCGCUNCACUGACGGAGGCAACGAGUUGACCUUAGCCGAAAGGUUUGGGAAAUCUGUAAACUCNNNNGUGAUGGGGAUAAAGCAUUGAAAUUAUUGCNNUUGAACGAGGAAUUCCUAGUAAGCGUAAGUCAUUAACUUGCGNNGAUUACGUCC
rnacentral:rRNA from 1 species